CUGGCUAGAUUUGGAACUCAAUGGGUCACAUAUAAUAAAAAUUUAAUCUUGAUCCAAUCUAUUUAGAUUUAUUGUAAAUCCAAUGGCUUAAUUGAAUUGCUAGCACAUGAAUUAACCUAAAUUCCCAAUUGGAUUUAGUGCAAAUAUGCUUGUGCUAACCCUUUGCUUGUUGUCUUGACCUAAUGUGAUUGGGUUUUGUUGCACAGAUAUGGAGCCCAAGAGGAG
rnacentral:lncRNA from 1 species